GUUUCAAUCCCUCAUAGGUAGGCUAAGAAC
rfam:Caloramator australicus RC3, WGS project CAKP01000000 data, contig: 92